rnacentral:rRNA from 1 species
AGUCGAGCGAGCUUGCCUAGAUGAUUUUAGUGCUUGCACUAAAUGACACUUGAUACAAGCGAGCGGCGGACGGGUGAGUAACACGUGGGUAACCUGCCCAAGAGACUGGGAUAACACCUGGAAACAGAUGCUAAUACCGGAUAACAACACUAGACGCAUGUCUAGAGUUUGAAAGAUGGUUCUGCUAUCACUCUUGGAUGGACCUGCGGUGCAUUAGCUAGUUGGUAAGGUAACGGCUUACCAAGGCAAUGAUGCAUAGCCGAGUUGAGAGACUGAUCGGCCACAUUGGGACUGAGACACGGCCCAAACUCCUACGGGAGGCAGCAGUAGGGAAUCUUCCACAAUGGACGAAAGUCUGAUGGAGCAACGCCGCGUGAGUGAAGAAGGGUUUCGGCUCGUAAAGCUCUGUUGGUAGUGAAGAAAGAUAGAGGUAGUAACUGGCCUUUAUUUGACGGUAAUUACUUAGAAAGUCACGGCUAACUACGUGCCAGCAGCCGCGGUAACACGUAGGUGGCAAGCGUUGUCCGGAUUUAUUGGGCGUAAAGCGAGUGCAGGCGGUUCAAUAAGUCUGAUGUGAAAGCCUUCGGCUCAACCGGAGAAUUGCAUCAGAAACUGUUGAACUUGAGUGCAGAAGAGGAGAGUGGAACUCCAUGUGUAGCGGUGGAAUGCGUAGAUAUAUGGAAGAACACCAGUGGCGAAGGCGGCUCUCUGGUCUGCAACUGACGCUGAGGCUCGAAAGCAUGGGUAGCGAACAGGAUUAGAUACCCUGGUAGUCCAUGCCG